UACGUAGGGGGCUAGCGUUGUCCGGAAUCAUUGGGCGUAAAGCGCGCGUAGGCGGCCCGGUAAGUCCGCUCUGAAAGUCCAGGGCUCAACCCUGGAAAGCGGGUGGAUACUGCCGGGCUAGAAUCCGGAAGAGGCGAGUGGAAUUCCUGGUGUAGCGGUGGAAUGCGUAGAUAUCGGGAGGAACACCAGUGGCGCAAGCGGCUGACUGGCCGAGACCUGACGCUGAGACACGACGGCGUGGGGAGCAAACCGG
rnacentral:rRNA from 1 species